CGGACUACCAGGGUAUCUAAUCCUGUUUGCUCCCCACGCUUUCGUGCAUGAGCGUCAAUCUUGACCCAGGGGGCUGCCUUCGCCAUCGGUGUUCCUCCACAUAUCUACGCAUCUCACUGCUACACGUGGAAUUCUACCCCCCUCUGCCAGAUUCUAGCCUUGCAGUCUCCAAUGCAAUUCCCAGGUUGAGCCCGGGGAUUUCACAUCAGACUUACAAAACCGCCUGCGCACGCUUUACGCCCAGUAAUUCCGAUUAACGCUUGCACCCUACGUAUUACCGCGGCUGCUGGCACUU
rnacentral:misc_RNA from 1 species